GCCAUAAGUCUGGUCCCAAAGGCGCUGGAGCCACACGUGACAGAAAUGGCGCAGACAAUUGUUGCAGGCGUGUUCAUCACAACGGCAGGUUCCACGUCUAACGGCACGAGGCUCUCUGCCAGUGACCUGACCAAUGGUGCGGAUGAAAUGCUGGCCACAAGCUCCAACAGGUCUCAGUACAGCAUCUCCAGGGUGAAGACCCCGGUGUCCCAGGUUGGGGAGGAUGAGGAGGACUACGAUUUCGACGAGGACAAC
rnacentral:lncRNA from 1 species